rnacentral:rRNA from 1 species
GAUGAACGCUGGCGGCGUGCCUAAUACAUGCAAGUCGAGCGAACAGACGAGGCGCUUGCUCCUCUGACGUUAGCGGCGGACGGGUGAGUAACACGUGGCUAACCUACCUAUAAGACUGGGAUCACUUCGGGAAACCGGAUCUAAUACCGGAUAAUAUAUUGAACCUCAUGGUUCAAUAGUGAAAGACGGUUUUGCUGUCACUUAUAGAUGUAUCCGCGCCGCAUUAGCUAGUUGGUAAGGUAACGGCUUACCAAGGCAACGAUGCGUAGCCGACCUGAGAGGGUGAUCAGCCACACUGGAACUGAGACACGGUCCAGACUCCUACGGGAGGCAGCAGUAGGGAAUCUUGCGCAAUGGGCGAAAGCCUGACGGAGCAACGCCGCGUGAGUGAUGAAGGUCUUCGGAUCGUAAAACUCUGUUAUUAGGGAAGAACAAAUGUGUAAGUAACUAUGCACGUCUUGACGGUACCUAAACAGAAAGCCACGGCUAACUACGUG